rnacentral:rRNA from 1 species
AUUGAACGCUGGCGGCAUGCUUUACACAUGCAAGUCGAACGGUAACAGGCUUUCGGGUGCUGACGAGUGGCGGACGGGCGAGUAAUGCAUCGGAACGUGCCCAGCGCUGGGGGAUAACGCAGCGAAAGCUGUGCUAAUACCGCAUGUGAUCUGAGGAUGAAAGCGGGGGACCAGGCAGCAAUGUUUGGCCUCGCGCCUUUGGAGCGGCCGAUGUCGGAUUAGGUAGUUGGGGGGGUAAAGGCCUACCAAGCCGACGAUCGGUAGCUCGUCUGAGAGGACGGCCGCCCACACGAGGGGUGGGACACGGCCCAGGGUCCUGCGGGAGGCAGCAGUCGGGAAUGUUAGACAAUGGGCGCAAGCCUGAUCCAGCAAUGCCGCGUGCGAGAAGAAGGCCUUCGGGUUGUAAACCGCUUUUGUACGGAACGAAAAGGUUCUGGCUAAUACCUGGGGCUGAUGACGGUACCGGAAGAAGAAGCACCGGCUAACUACGUG